UAAGUGAAAAUGGCCGAGUUGGUCUAAGGCGCCAAUUUCAGGUAUUGGUCGGGUAGAGCGUGGGUUCUAAUUCCACUAUUAACAA